rnacentral:rRNA from 1 species
GACGUAGGGGGGCCAGCGUUGUUCGGAAUUACUGGGUGUAAAGGGUUCGUAGGCGGUGCGGCAAGUCGGGAGUGAAAUCUCUGGGCUUAACCCAGAGGCUGCUUCCGAAACUGCUGUGCUUGAGUGUGGGAGAGGCGCGUGGAAUUGCAGGUGUAGCGGUGAAAUGCGUAGAUAUCUGCAGGAACACCCGUGGCGAAAGCGGCGCGCUGGACCACUACUGACGCUGAGGAACGAAAGCUAGGGGAGCAAACAGG